AUGUCCCUUCAUUUUCGGCGGCCCCCACGCGUCCCGCAACCCACGAACCGACAAUGUGGACCCACACAAAUCAUGAGACCCACAGGGCAGCGAUACCGCCCACGACUUAUCCGAAGAAAUCUCCCUUCCUCGACUGAACCAGAACCCUACUGCCGCGGCGCUUCCCCGGCUGCCCAGCUCCUGGCCAUCCCCCAGACUCUUCAUCAUCUCCCCUAA
rnacentral:rRNA from 1 species